GUCUACGGCCAUACCACCCUGAACGCGCCUGAUCUCGUCUGAUCUCGGAAGCUAAGCAGGGUCGGGCCUGGUUAGUACUUGGAUGGGAGACUUUGUGUUUUCAGUG
rnacentral:rRNA from 1 species